rfam:Asian citrus Psyllid, Diaphorina citri - Florida Strain, whole genome shotgun sequence.
AUACUUACCUGGCGUGGAGGUUACCUUGAUCAAGAAGGAGGUUCCUCCAGGGUGAGGCCCUUCCAUUGCACUUAGGUUGGGUUGACCCCUGCGAGUAUUCCAAAUGUGAAUACCUCGGGCGCGUAAUUUUUGGUAGCGGGGAUUGCGUACGCGCACAUCCCUA